rnacentral:lncRNA from 1 species
AGUCGGCCUUUGUUAGCACACAGGGCUCACACCCACAGGGACAAAGGAAUACCCAAAGGAAAAAUCUGUGGCUCAGAUAGUCUCCAUAUCAUAGACCAGGGAAUCACACCUGAAACAUUGAUCUUACAGUCUUUUUUGGUUUUGUUUUUCUUUGAAUGGCAGCUUUAGAUUGUUCUGGUUUUUGUGUGCUUACAAACAGGACUCCUCAUCUGUUUUUAAGAGGGAAAUCUGAGUUUUCAAGGAAAGCCGAAUACAGUUGCCAAGUUGCCAGUCAAAGAAACAAUGUCAACACCUGCUCAUAGAGAUGGAAUUCCUAACCCGGAAUAUUGCCCUUGAAUUACAACGAGAAAAAGCACCUCUUCAAGUGAGAUGGCAGACCACCUCAGGAUGGAAAUGUAUUUCUUCAUCCCCCUCUCUACUUCCCUGUGACCUCCUGCAAAUAAGGGAGAGACAAAGAGAAGAGCAGAAGAACAGAAGAAUGGAGUGGCAAAGAGAAGAGAAGGAGUGACUGAACAUUGACAAGACUUUGGUUGGGGAUGGUCAGAGAGGAGAUUAGCUGCUAGACGGCCACACUGCGGAGAAAGAUCAUUUUCCCACUCCAUCCCCCUUCCAGCUCCCCAUCCAUCUCACCAAGAGCCAGCUCCACCACUCAAUAAAACCUUACAUUCAUCUUUC